rnacentral:rRNA from 1 species
UCCAUUGGUAGCCGUGAAAUGCGUAGAUAUAUGGAGGAACACCAGUGGCGAAGGCGGCUCUCUGGUCUGUAACUGACGCUGAGGCUCGAAAGCGUGGGGAGCAAACAGGAUUAGAUACCUGGUAGUCCACGCCGUAAACGAUGAGUGCUAAGUGUUGGAGGGUUUCCGCCCUUUCAGUGCUGCAGCUAACGCAUUAAGCACUCCGCCUGGGGAGUACGACCGCAAGGUUGAAACUCAAAGGAAUUGACGGGGGCCCGCACAAGCGGUGGAGCAUGUGGUUUAAUUCGAAGCAACGCGAAGAACCUUACCAGGUCUUGACAUCCUUUGACCACUCUAGAGAUAGAGCUUCCCCUUCGGGGGCAAAGUGACAGGUGGUGCAUGGUUGUCGUCAGCUCGUGUCGUGAGAUGUUGGGUUAAGUCCCGCAACGAGCGCAACCCUUAUUGUUAGUUGCCAUCAUUCAGUUGGGCACUCUAGCAAGACUGCCGGUGACAAACCGGAGGAAGGUGGGGAUGACGUCAAAUCAUCAUGCCCCUUAUGACCUGGGCUACACACGUGCUACAAUGGGAAGUACAACGAGUUGCGAAGUCGCGAGGCUAAGCUAAUCUCUUAAAGCUUCUCUCAGUUCGGAUUGCAGGCUGCAACUCGCCUGCAUGAAGCCGGAAUCGCUAGUAAUCGCGGAUCAGCACGCCGCGGUGAAUACGUUCCCGGGCCUUGUACACACCGCCCGUCACACCACGAGAGUUUGUAACACCCGAAGUCGGUGAGGUAACCUUUUGGAGCCAGCCGCCUAAGGUGGGAUAGAUGAUUGGGGU